rnacentral:rRNA from 1 species
GACGAACGCUGGCGGCGUGCUUAACACAUGCAAGUCGAACGGAAAGGCCCUGCUUUUGUGGGGUGCUCGAGUGGCGAACGGGUGAGUAACACGUGAGUAACCUGCCCUUGACUUUGGGAUAACUUCAGGAAACUGGGGCUAAUACCGGAUAGGAGCUCCUGCUGCAUGGUGGGGGUUGGAAAGUUUCGGCGGUUGGGGAUGGACUCGCGGCUUAUCAGCUUGUUGGUGGGGUAGUGGCUUACCAAGGCUUUGACGGGUAGCCGGCCUGAGAGGGUGACCGGCCACAUUGGGACUGAGAUACGGACCAGAAUCCUACGGGAGGCAGCAGUGGGGAAUAUUGCACAAUGGGCGGAAGCCUGAUGCAGCAACGCCGCGUGCGGGAUGCCGGCCUUCGGGUUGUAAACCGAUUUCGACUGUGACGAAGCGUGAGUGACGGUAAUGGGUAAAGAAGCACCGGCUAACUACGUG